rnacentral:rRNA from 1 species
CCUANGGGCGGCUGCAGUAGGGAAUUUUCGGCAAUGGGGGAAACCCUGACCGAGCGACGCCGCGUGAGGGAUGAAGGCCUUCGGGUUGUAAACCUCUGUCUUCGGGGACGAUAAUGACGGUACCCGAGGAGGAAGCCACGGCUAACUACGUGCCAGCAGCCGCGGUAAGACGUAGGUGGCGAGCGUUGUCCGGAAUUACUGGGCGUAAAGGGCGUGUAGGCGGCCUGCUAAGUCAGACGUGAAAUCCCAAGGCUUAACCUUGGGACUGCGUUUGAUACUGGUUGGCUUGAGGACAGGAGAGGAAAGUGGAACUCCGUGUGUAGCGGUGAAAUGCGUAGAUAUACGGAAGAACACCAGUGGCGAAGGCGGCUUUCUGGACUGUCCCUGACGCUGAGGCGCGAAAGCCAGGGGAGCGAACGGGAUUAGAUACCCCGNUANUC